UACAGAGGGUGCGAGCGUUAAUCGGAAUUACUGGGCGUAAAGGGCGCGUAGGCGGCGCGAGAAGUCAGGCGUGAAAGCCCCGGGCUCAACCUGGGAGGUGCGCUUGGGACUCUUGUGCUUGAGUUCGGGAGAGGAGCGUGGAAUUCCCAGUGUAGAGGUGAAAUUCGUAGAUAUUGGGAAGAACACCGGUGGCGAAGGCGGCGCUCUGGACCGAGACUGACGCUGAGGCGCGAAAGCGUGGGGAGCAAACAGG
rnacentral:rRNA from 1 species